rnacentral:rRNA from 1 species
GAUGAACGCUGGCGGCGUACCUAAUACAUGCAAGUCGAGCGAAUGGAUUAAGAGCUUGCUCUUAUGAAGUUAGCGGCGGACGGGUGAGUAACACGUGGGUAACCUGCCCAUAAGACUGGGAUAACUCCGGGAAACCGGGGCUAAUACCGGAGAACAUUUUGAACCGCAUGGUUCGAACUUGAAAGGCGGCUUCGGCUGUCACAUAUGCAUGGACCCGCGUCGCAUUAGCUAGUUGGGGAGGUAACGGCUCACCAAGGCAACGAUGCGUAGCCGACCUGAGAGGGUGAUCGGCCACACUGGGACUGAGACACGGCCCAGACUCCUACGGGAGGCAGCAGUAGGGAAUCUUCCGCAAUGGACGAAAGUCUGACGGAGCAACGCUGCGUGAGUGAUGAAGGCUUUCGGGUCGUAAAACUCUGUUGUUAGGGAAGAACAAGUGCUAGUUGAAUAAGCUGGCACCUUGACGGUACCUAACCAGAAAGCCACGGCUAACUACGUGCCAGCCGCCGCAGUAA